rnacentral:misc_RNA from 1 species
UCGUAUAAAAUGGAGGUGCUGGGGGCUGUCGCUGACCUUUGACAAAGGUCGUGCACGCCCGGAGCACUCUCUCAUAUCCAUCUCACCCCUUUGUGCAUUGCCGCGUGGGUCCCCUUUGCAGGAGGGCUCACGUUUUCACACAAAAUUUGAUACAGUGUAGAAUGUUAUCUUUUGCGAUCACACGCAAUCAAUA